rnacentral:rRNA from 1 species
AACGUAGGACACAAGCGUUAUUCGGAUUCACUGGGCGUAAAGGGUGCGCAGGCGGCCAAGUGUGUUAGGCGUGAAAGCCUGGGGCUUAACCCCAGAAUUGCACCUAAAACUACAUGGCUAGAGCAUUGGAGAGGGUAGCGGAAUUCACGGUGUAGCAGUGAAAUGCGUAGAUAUCGUGAGGAACACCAGAGGCGAAGGCGGCUACCUGGACAAUUGCUGACGCUCAGGCACGAAAGCGUGGGGAGCAAAAGGG